GGUUGAAGGUUGGGUAACACUAACUGGAGGACCGAACCGACUAAUGUUGAAAAAUUAGCGGAUGACCUGUGGCUGGGGGUGAAAGGCCAAUCAAACCGGGAGAUAGCUGGUUCUCCCCGAAAGCUAUUUAGGUAGCGCCUCGUGAAUUCAUCUCCGGGGGUAGAGCACUGUUUCGGCUAGGGGGCCAUCCCGGCUUACCAACCCGAUGCAAACUGCGAAUACCGGAGAAUGUUAUCACGGGAGACACACGGCGGGUGCUAACGUCCGUCGUGAAGAGGGAAACAACCCAGACCGCCAGCUAAGGUCCCAAAGUCAUGGUUAAGUGGGAAACGAUGUGGGAAGGCCCAGACAGCCAGGAUGUUGGCUUAGAAGCAGCCAUCAUUUAAAGAAAGCGUAAUAGCUCACUGGUCGAGUCGGCCUGCGCGGAAGAUGUAACGGGGCUAAACCAUGCACCGAAGCUGCGGCAGCGAACGUAUCACCCAAGACAACUUUACGGAGUUGACGAUUGACGGAGCGAAGCGACGUCAAAGCGUUCAUUAAAGUCGAGUUGGCUUAGGGAUACGUUCGUUGGGUAGGGGAGCGUUCUGUAAGCCUGUGAAGGUGUGUCGUGAGGCAUGCUGGAGGUAUCAGAAGUGCGAAUGCUGACAUAAGUAACGAUAAAGCGGGUGAAAAGCCCGCUCGCCGGAAGACCAAGGGUUCCUGUCCAACGUUAAUCGGGGCAGGGUG
rnacentral:rRNA from 1 species